UACCUCAAAUGGUAGAGCAAGGCAUUAACACUGCCAGGGUUAGGGGUUCAAUUCCCUGUCUACC
rnacentral:tRNA from 1 species